rnacentral:SRP_RNA from 1 species
GCCGGGCUUGGUGGCGCGCGCCUGUAAUCCCAGCUACUCGGGAGGCUAAGGCAGGAGAAUCGCUUGAACCUGGGAGGCGGAGGUGGCAGUGAGCUGAGAUCCGCCACUGCACUCCAGCCUGGGCGACAGAGCGAGAUUCCGCCUCAA